UGGUCGCGUUUCUUUUGAAGGAAGGAAAACAAGCCAUCGCUGUAAUCGUCCAAAUAAACAACGCCACCCUCCACCAACGGAGACGAGAGCCAGGGUCCUCUCUGACUGUUUCCCAGGUACAUCAGGGGUAUCUCCAGACAAGGACUUGGCCCCUGGAAAGAAACACGUAUGACAUGGGUGGGGAGUAAGGAGACAGGCCCAUAAGAAGGUUCGUGCUGGGGUGCUACAAGACAUUUCACAAGCUUAAUAAAGGUAAUUAUUGGGGAAUUGGAUGAUGAUGACAGAAGCAAAGGUGCUGCGGUUAAACACAAGUGCGGCAGUUUGCCGUUUGGAGGCAUCUGGGAGACAUACUCAAGGGCAAUUAAUGCGGAUUAGUAGCUCCUUAAUAAUGCCCAUUCAUCACUCCAUUGAAUUAACUAUCAGUGUGGCUAAAGGUGUUGUGUGGAGUGACGAAGUUCCAUGUGGCUGGCGGCCCCUGACCAUAUGUUCAAACAAAGGAGGCAAAAGUGGAUCGCUCCCAGGGAGUUUGUUUUACAUAAGGAAGCAUUAAAAAUGAGGCUUCGUACCUGCAGUUUGCUACACUGAUCCAACUCAAGCCCAUUAAGGCCCUGAUUCUGCUACAUAUGGAGAAC